rnacentral:rRNA from 1 species
GACGAACGCUGGCGGCAUGCUUAACACAUGCAAGUCGAACGGUGAAAGAGAGCUUGCUCUCUGGAUCAGUGGCGAACGGGUGAGUAACACGUGAGCAAUCUGCCCCUGACUCUGGGAUGAGCGCUGGAAACGGCGUCUAAUACCGGAUACGAGCUGCGAAGGCAUCUUCAGCAGCUGGAAAGAACUUCGGUCAGGGAUGAGCUCGCGGCCUAGCAGCUAGUUGGUGAGGUAAUGGCUCACCAAGGCGUCGACGGGUAGCCGGCCUGAGAGGGUGACCGGCCACACUGGGACUGAGACACGGCCCAGACUCCGACGGGAGGCAGCAGUGGGGAAGAGUGCACAAUGGGCGCAAGCCUGAUGCAGCAACGCCGCGUGAGGGACGACGGCCUUCGGGUUGUAAACCUCUUUUAGCAGGGAAGAAGCGAAAGUGACGGUACCUGCAGAAAAAGCACCGGCUAACUACGUGCCAGCCGCCGCAGUAAGAC